rnacentral:piRNA from 1 species
GAGGAGUCUGAGCCCCAGUGGUUCCCUU